UAAUCUUCACCGCCACAAGAGGUUCUUAUCAGGAAAAUGUAAACAUACCCUCGUUGUUUUGGGUGAGGAAUGAUGGAGGGAACAAGGGAGGGGAUCAAAUAUUUUGGUUUGGCCUGUCCUUUACUGUGAAAUGACUAUGACUCCGUCUGGAUAUAUAAGUAUAUAAAAGGCAAUGUGGGAACUCUAUACUCUGAAAUAUGUAAAGAAACACUAGUUUCUCACACACACACACACACAAAGUGUUGGCCAACAUUUAUCCCAUGUGGUUGUUGGGGAAACCCUACUUCCUCCUCAGCAGUGUGAUGAAAGAAACAGGUGGAAGAGAGAGUAUUAAAAAUAAUAGGGGGAACAGGAGAGAGAGAGAAAAACAGACAAGAAGAGAGAACCAGACGCCCUCCCACACUACCAGAGCUUCAGCAACAGCGAGGAUCUUUUAACUUCUCUUUGCAGCCAUGUUUGUGUGUGUGUGUGUGUGUGUGUUCGGCUGACAUGACGCAGAGCAGUCAAAACAGCGUUCUGCUUCUCUGAAGCAGCGCUAACGACCGCAGUCGUUCAUCUAUAGGCAGCCACAGCUUGUGUUGCAUGUUAUCGUUCGCCAUCGGUCUCUCAGGGGCAAACAUGAGGUCGUGGUGGCUCAUGGUAGAUGAACAGAUAAGGAGAGGUGGAGGCUGAGAGACAAGAGGAAGGUAGAAGAAAGAAGCAUCAAGUUUAGCUUGUGUCAAAUUCUCCUGGGCCUGUUGUGUAUUGUUACGCUGUCCUGUUUACAGUACCUUUGUAAAUAACUCACACCAUGAUACGUCUAGUUUUAAUUUGUUAUUUGAUGCUACAAAAACAGGAUAGGACAGGAUCCCUUUCUAGGGAAAGGGAAGUGGAGACACGUCAUCCAUCCUUAUAUCCACUCAUUGCUUAUGCACUUCGGUGCCUUGUUUCUCGUGCGCAACAUUUUACAAUUAAAAGAAGAAGGUGCAAAAAAAUGGAGGAAAUACCAGAAGUUCUUUUUACUAAUGGAGGGAAAGGUAGAUUUUCCAUUCAUCCAGUGCCAUCCAUAAUGCUUAGACCUAAGGGUUGCAGGGGGACUGGAGCCAGUCCCAGCUGGGUUAGAGGAAGGGUACACCCUGGACAGAUCGCCAGUCCAUCGCAGGGCCAACACAUAUAUGGACAAACAACCAUUCACACUCACUCACAUUCACGCCUGUGGGCUAUUUAGUCACCAAUUAACCUAAGCUGCAUGUCUUUGGACUGUGGGAGGACGCCGAGGGCUCGAACCCUGAACCUUCUUGCUGUGAGGCGACAGAAAGAAAAACGAGUUCCUGACUGGGAAAAUUCACUCGAACGCCCCCUCAAGUUGGAAAAACAACUCUUUGGUACACGACUUACCAAAAGUAGAUGUUUGAUUGAUGGAGUGACGGCAGAAAAAGGAGAGGAGGCAGAAGAGACACCACUCGACAUCAGGUGGGUUCGACCCAUAGAAGAUUCAUAGAAGGAGAACAGGUGAGAUUAGAGAGAAAAGGUGGGGAAGUAACAGAAGACAGGGAGUGGAUGCAUGACAGAAAUAAAAAGGUGCUGAGUGAUGUACAGACGGGACAAGUCAGCUCAGGUCAUGCAGUGUUCAUGAAUAUUUGUUAACAAGUUUACUUCAUUCUGUUGUUGGGGAAACUUUAAAACACUCGACUGUGUACUGAGUUUAGUUUAUGCAGGUCAGAGAAGAGAAGACAUCUGUAAAUCAAGGUCGCUUGCUGAUCACAGACAGAUUAAAAGUCCUCCCCCGUCUCACCUCCCUCCCUUCGUCUGCCUAGAAAGAAAGAAUGCAAAACAAUAUUCCAGUCUUAUAUUCCCCCCAUUCUUUAUUUGUUGAUGCGUUGUUUUUCAAUAUCUCUCCUCCAGUCAAGCUUUAUUGUGUUUUUUCCCACUUCCCACCUGAAGCUAAAUGUCUGUUUUCCCCCCUCCUCCUUCCCUCCAUCUCAUUUCACUUUGUCCCUGAGCAGCGUUCUGUGUUUCCUUUGGGCUGUAAAUUUCUUUUUUUCAGAGGAAAAAAAAAAAGGAACUAAAAGAAAGAACUGCAUGAUGUUCUUUCAGAAAAAGAGGUCAGGAAAACAGAGGAGGGAAAGAAGAGGCGGGAGGUAAGGAGGACGGCGUGUCUUGUGACUGUGCUGUGUAGGUGGAACUGUCAGGUAGCCCGCUGGAUUGUAGCUGCACACAAAGAAGAAAAAAACAUGCGAUUUAGAUUCAACAGCCGCAAGUUUGAGCUCAACUUUUAAACCAACAAACCUCCAUCAGCAAGGGAUGGAUAAAAACCUGUAGUAUAACUUGCACAGCUGCCGCCUCCGUAAAUUUGUUCCUGGUUCAUCUUCCGGUUUGGAUUAUGACAAAUAGCACAUGAAUCAACACCGUUUGCUGUUUUAUGUCGAACUCCCAGAUGCCUGGCUUUCCAACUGGCACCUGAACACAACAUAAUAGUAGAGAACAACGACAAGAAACGCUGAAGCACAUCAUCGAGACAGGGUAGAAAUCCCAGAUUUCACCAGAGGUGUGAUCGUACACGGCCACAACUUUCCUCCACUGGAUGAAUAAAGACCAAAAAGAAAGUAAUGCCAUGAAACAAUACAUUAAAAUGACUAAAUACAAUGGCGAGCUGUUUGAACCAAGUCGCACUAACCUUAAUCUGUACCCUAAUUCAGACCAAAUCCACAACGAGCCCUGCUUUAAUCUAAAGAGUCUCACUGGUCUUCAAAGACAGGCUGCUCAAACCCUUUAGUGGCCGCACUUUAACCCCCCAGAUCAGGGAUUCCUGACGUUUAUAACCCUGCGGACAUUUCAAGAAACUUUAAGUCUCUCACAUGAAACACACAGACUGGUUUAAGCUCACUGCUGUUGUCAUGUGGGGAGCCGUGAAUAACGCUGACUACGAGCUGCGUUCAGGGGUCGUAGCAAAGUAAAAACUAGGCCAGUGCUCGGUGGUGUGGUAGGAAAGCAGAAAGAAGGUGACCUCUAAAGCCUCGGAGCAAACAGCGAGAGAUGGGGUAAAUAAAGAGGUCUCUAAUAAACACACUGUGUUUACCCUCCACUUAGCGCUGAGGGGAGGAGGGUGAGGGAAGGAGGGAGGCACGAGGG